rnacentral:rRNA from 1 species
GUGAGGAAUUUUCCGCAAUGGGCGAAAGCCUGACGGAGCAAUGCCGCGUGAAGGAUGAAGGCCUAUGGGUUGUAAACUUCUUUUCUCAGAAAAGAAUUAUGACGGUAUCUGAGGAAUAAACAUCGGCUAACUCUGUGCCAGCAGCCGCGGUAAGACAGAGGAUGCAAGCGUUAUCCGGAAUGAUUGGGCGUAAAGCGUCUGUAGGUUGUUUAAAAAGUAUUCUGUCAAAGAUUAGGGCUUAACCCUAGAUAGGCAGAAUAAACUUUUAAGCUAGAGUUUGGUAGAGGCAGAGGGAAUUCCCGGUGGAGCGGUGAAAUGCGUAGAUAUUCGGAGGAACACCAGUGGCGAAGGCACUCUGCUGGGCCAAUACUAACACUGAGAGACGAAAGCGAGGGGAGCAAAUGGGAUUAGAAACCCUGGUAGUCC